rnacentral:pre_miRNA from 1 species
UCUUAUGAGUGAGCAAAGAAGUGGUUUCUUGAGAUGGAAUUUCCUCCUGGUGAAGAUACUGUGAA